rnacentral:misc_RNA from 1 species
AACCCUUCAAGCCUAGCUUGGUGUUGGGCGUCUGCCCCCGCGUACGCGCGAGGGCUCGCCUCAAAGUCAUUGGCAGCUGAGAUACCGGCCCCGAGCGCAGCACAAUGCGUCCUCGAUCCGCGUAGCUCGGCGUCCACGAAGCCCAUUCUUCUUU